rnacentral:rRNA from 1 species
UACAGAGGUGGCAAGCGUUGUUCGGAAUUACUGGGCGUAAAGGGCGCGUAGGCGGCCUGCUAAGUCGGACGUGAAAUCCCUCGGCUCAACCGAGGAACUGCGUCCGAUACUGGUGGGCUUGAAUCCGGGAGAGGGAUGUGGAAUUCCAGGUGUAGCGGUGAAAUGCGUAGAUAUCUGGAGGAACACCGGUGGCGAAGGCGGCAUCCUGGACCGGUAUUGACGCUGAGGCGCGAAAGCUAGGGUAGCAAACGGG